rnacentral:rRNA from 1 species
UACGAGGGGUGCAAGCGUUGCUCGGAAUUAUUGGGCGUAAAGGGUAGGUAGGUGGUCUCAUUUGUCUGGGGUGAAAUCCUUGAGCUUAACUCAAGAAGUGCCCUAGAAACGGUGAGACUCGAGUCUUGGAGAGGGUCGUGGAAUUCCCGGUGUAGCGGUGAAAUGCGUAGAGAUCCGGAGGAACACCAAAGGCGAAGGCAGUGUCCUGGGGAGUACCUGACGCUCAGGUGCGAAAGCCAGGGGAGCGAACGGG